GAUCCCCCCCUAAUUCUGGCAUUAAGGAGCUUGCAAAACUGAAUAAACUGAAAAUGACUUUUCUUGGAGCCAUGAAAAUACACCACCCACGUCCAUGUCCUCAAAGAAAGUAAAUGAAGAACAUUACAGCGAAUAUCACUUUAUCUGGAGCAAAAUCCACUGGAACCAUACAGUGGUAGGAACACUUAAAUGAACCCUUUGAUUAAUAACUAGAAGAUGUGUAUAGGCUAGCAUCAGAGUGAGAAAAUUCCAACAGUCACUGUCUCAAAAGUCUCUCACACUUCAUGAGUUUCCUCUGAAGAAUCUCCCAAGUUCUCACAGUGAAGACCCAUGAAAAUACCUUCACAUUUUCAGGUCCACCCCACUUCCAUUUUCUUGAUGCUCCUUGGGAAACAGAAGGUUGAGAUUCUUGGAUCAUGGAUGCUCCAGGUUCCCAGUUGCAGUGCUUUGUGCAGCAGGCUUCUGCAGUGGGCUUCAGCACUGACCUGAGCGGUCCACCAUGGGGUGACAGGUAUAUACCUAGAAAAGGUAUCACUGGGUCCUAUGGUAACUCUACAUAUGAAAUUUAAAGGAAUUUCCAGAAUGUUUUAUAAAACAACUGUACCAUUUUACAUUUUAACCAGCAGAGUAUGAAACUUCCAUCAAUUUCUCCAUUUUUCCUCAGAGGUAUAUACCUAGAAAAGGUAUCACUGGGUCCUAUGGUAACUCUACAUAUGAAAUUUAAAGGAAUUUCCAGAAUGUUUUAUAAGACAACUGUACCAUUUUACAUUUUAACCAGCAGAGUAUGAAACUUCCAUCAAUUUCUCCAUUUUUUCUCAGAGUACACUUCCUUAGGAUGCCAGUGAGGUUUAAUUGAACAGUGAUCAGUCACAUAUGGAAUAUGUUUCUGAAGAAGGCAGAUUUCUCCAGACAGGAAGAUAAAAAGGAUUAGAGAGGCCAGUUUGGAAUGGGACUUUUGAAUGUUGGUUGCCUUAGAUACCUUGAGAUCUGCCUUGAAGAAGGAGAAAAUGAAGACAAGAGCUUGGUGAAUAAAAUAGUAAGUGUAAAA